UGCAAGUCGAGCGGUAAGGCCCUUCGGGGUACACGAGCGGCGAACGGGUGAGUAACACGUGAGCAACCUGCCCCUGACUCUGGGAUAAGCGGUGGAAACGCCGUCUAAUACCGGAUACGACCUUCCGCCUCAUGGUGGAGGGUGGAAAGUUUUUUCGGUCAGGGAUGGGCUCGCGGCCUAUCAGCUUGUUGGUGGGGUAACGGCCUACCAAGGCGAUUACGGGUAGCCGGCCUGAGAGGGCGACCGGCCACACUGGGACUGAGACACGGCCCAGACUCCUGCGGGAGGCAGCAGUGGGGAAUAUUGCGCAAUGGGCGAAAGCCUGACGCAGCGACGCCGCGUGGGGGAUGACGGCCUUCGGGUUGUAAACCUCUUUUACCACCAACGCAGGCUCCGGGUUCUCUCGGGGUUGACGGUAGGUGGGGAAUAAGGACCGGCUAACUACGUGCCAGCAGCCGCGGUAAUACGUAGGGUCCGAGCGUUGUCCGGAAUUAUUGGGCGUAAAGAGCUCGUAGGCGGCGUGUCGCGUCUGCUGUGAAAGACCGGGGCUUAACUCCGGUUCUGCAGUGGAUACGGGCAUGCUAGAGGUAGGUAGGGGAGACUGGAAUUCCUGGUGUAGCGGUGAAAUGCGCAGAUAUCAGGAGGAACACCGGUGGCGAAGGCGGGUCUCUGGGCCUUACCUGAC
rnacentral:rRNA from 1 species